AGAGGGUGCUAGCGUUGUUCGGAAUUACUGGGCGUAAAGGGCGCGUAGGCGGCCUUCUAAGUCGAACGUGAGAUCCCCGGGCUCAACCCGGGAACUGCGUCCGAGGCUGGAAGGCUCGAAUCCGGGAGAGGGAUGUGGAAUUCCAGGUGUAGCGGUGAAAUGCGUAGAUAUCUGGAGGAACAUCGGUGGCGAAGGCGGCAUCCUGGACCGGUAUUGACGCUGAGGCGCGAAAGCCAGGGGAGCAAACGGGAUUAGAUACCCCGGUAGUCCUGGCCCUAAACGAUGAAUGCUUGGUGUGGCGGGUAUCGAUCCCUGCCGUGCCGAAGCUAACGCAUUAAGCAUUCCACCUGGGGAGUACGUUCGCAAGAAUG
rnacentral:rRNA from 1 species